rnacentral:rRNA from 1 species
UACGAAGGGGGCUAGCGUUGCUCGGAAUCACUGGGCGUAAAGCGCACGUAGGCGGAUUGCUAAGUCAGGGGUGAAAUCCUGGAGCUCAACUCCAGAACUGCCUUUGAUACUGAAGAUCUUGAGUUCGGGAGAGGUGAGUAGAACUGCGAGUGUAGAGGUGAAAUUCGUAGAUAUUCGCAAGAACACCAGUGGCGAAGGCGGCUCACUGGCCCGAUACUGACGCUGAGGCACGAAAGCGUGGGGAGCAAACAGG